rnacentral:rRNA from 1 species
UACGUAGGGGGCUAGCGUUGUCCGGAAUCAUUGGGCGUAAAGAGCGUGUAGGCGGCCCGGUAAGUCCGCUGUGAAAGUCGGGGGCUCAACCCUCGAAUGCCGGUGGAUACUGUCGGGCUAGAGUGCGGAAGAGGCGAGUGGAAUUCCUGGUGUAGCGGUGAAAUGCGCAGAUAUCAGGAGGAACACCAAUGGCGAAGGCAGCUCGCUGGGACGGUACUGACACUGAGACGCGAAAGCGUGGGGAGCAAACAGG